UUGUAGCUGAAUUUGGUUGUAGCUUCUGCAAGCUUUCUUCACUUUCUUCCCUCCACUAUCUGUUAACAAGUUUGAUCUUUACAAUUCAGUUAUAAGAACAAACAAUAUGACCAAAGGUUGACAGCUUUGCUUCAUCCUUUUUACAUUUCAGUAUGUGGAUGAAAGCAAAUAUGUACUGAUGUACCUAAAUGGAUUUACAAAAAUAUCUUUGAAAUGUUUUGUCAUACAGAUAUGGCAUCUAGUAUAAUUUUUUCCAACUUGAUUGUUGCAUUAUCAUAUAAUGAGAUUAGGUGCACAGCUUGCAGUCAGUUUAUUGUUUUUGCUAAAGAUCAUUGCUAGUAGGCCGACAAAAGACAGGUCUAAAAUGAAGCCUAAGAAAACAUGCUUAAGAUGAUAUUUUAAGAUUUUCUAAACAUUGGAUCGUUGCGGAAGGUUGUGAUUGGCACGGCAAGUGUUCUAAAAUGAAGCCAAAGAAAAUGGGGGAGAAAAUAAGGUUCGGCUUGAGGAAUUUAUGCAAUAAAGCAGUUUUAUAUUUGAUUCCUUCUUUAAUUAUAUUGCGUGUGUUCCUAAGCUGCAACCUAUUAAUAAUUUUAGUUUUAUAAUGUUCUUUGCCACUACCUUUCUAUUAUUCAUUCUUUUGCUUUGCAGGUUGUGACAAAAAUUGAUUGGCAUCGGAAAGGAGACUAUUUCACUACUGUCGUUCCUAGUGAUAUCCUAAUUAUGAAUUUUAGUUGUACUUAUUUUUAGUCAUUCCUAGUGCCUAUUUUAUUCCUAGUCACCUUAUUUCAAUGACAAGAACAAGGGUUCUCAUAGCGAAUAUGUGUCUAUUAAUGGGAUUUUCAAUGUCUUGCUUACCACGCUAAUCCUACUUCUGAUUGGAUUUGCAGCUUCAAGAUAUCAAACUCUACACCUUCUAUAUGGAGCUAGAUUUGCAAAAGCCAUAUCCAACUCGAGGAAGUGACUUAUUGACAUGGGAGAGAACUUAUUGGUAACCAAGGACUUUGUGAAGAUAGCAAAUUUUGGCCUUGCUCGUGAAGUUCAUUCGAAGCCACCAUUCACAGAAUAGGUUUCAACACGCUGUUUACAAAUCUCAAGUACUCCAGAGUUGAAAUUGAUGAAGUGCAGUUCGAGUGGGCUG